CAGCCGCCGCGGUAAAACCAGCAGCCCAAGUGGUGGUCGCGAUUAUUGGGCCUAAAGCGCUCGUAGCCGGGCCGGUAAGUCCCUUGUGAAAUCGGACGGCCUAACCGUUCGGCGUGCAAGGGAUACUGUCGGUCUUGAGGCCGGGAGACGUCCGAGGUACUCCGGGGGUAGCGGUGAAAUGUUCUAAUCCUCGGGGGACCACCGGUGGCGAAGGCGUUCGACGAGAACGGGCCUGACGGUGAGGGGCGAAGGCUAGGGGAGCAAACGGGAUUAGAUACCCCCGUAGUCCCUGUCUCUUAUA
rnacentral:rRNA from 1 species